rnacentral:rRNA from 1 species
GACGAACGCUGGCGGCGUGCUUAACACAUGCAAGUCGGACGGAAAGGCCCUGCUUUUGUGGGGUGCUCGAGUGGCGAACGGGUGAGUAACACGUGAGUAACCUGCCCUUGACUUUGGGAUAACUUCAGGAAACUGGGGCUAAUACCGGAUAGGAGCUCCUGCUGCAUGGUGGGGGUUGGAAAGUUUCGGCGGUUGGGGAUGGACUCGCGGCUUAUCAGCUUGUUGGUGGGGUAGUGGCUUACCAAGGCUUUGACGGGUAGCCGGCCUGAGAGGGUGACCGGCUACAUUGGGACUGAGAUACGGCCCAGACUCCUACGGGAGGCAGCAGUGGGGAAUAUUGCACAAUGGGCGGAAGCCUGAUGCAGCAACGCCGCGUGCGGGAUGACGGCCUUCGGGUUGUAAACCGCUUUCGCCUGUGACGAAGCGUGAGUGACGGUAAUGGGUAAAGAAGCACCGGCUAACUACGUG